AUUAAAGUGACUAUAUACCAGUUAGAUGAGGUAAUAUGUAGGUAGAGUUAUUAAAGGGACUAUAUACCAGUUAGAUGAGGUAAUAUGUAGGUAGAGUUAUUAAAGGGACUAUAUACCAGUUAGAUGAGGUAAUAUGUACAUGUAGGUAGAGUUAUUAAAGUGACUAUAUACCAGUUAGAUGAGGUAAUAUGUAGGUAGAGUUAUUAAAGGGACUAUAUACCAGUUAGUUGAGGUAAUAUGUAGGUAGAGUUAUUAAAGGGACUAUAUACCAGUUAGUUGAGGUAAUAUGUACAUGUAGGUAGAGUUAUUAAAGGGACUAUAUACCAGUUAGAUGAGGUAAUAUGUAGGUAGAGUUAUUAAAGGGACUAUAUACCAGUUAGUUGAGGUAAUAUGUAGGUAGAGUUAUUAAAGGGACUAUAUACCAGUUAGAUGAGGUAAUAUGUAGGUAGAGUUAUUAAAGGGACUAUAUACCAGUUAGUUGAGGUAAUAUGUAGGUAGAGUUAUUAAAGGGACUAUAUACCAGUUAGUUGAGGUAAUAUGUAGGUAGAGUUAUUAAAGGGACUAUAUACCAGUUAGAUGAGGUAAUAUGUAGGUAGAGUUAUUAAAGGGACUAUAUACCAGUUAGAUGAGGUAAUAUGUAGGUAGAGUUAUUAAAGGGACUAUAUACCAGUUAGUUGAGGUAAUAUGUACAUGUAGGUAGAGUUAUUAAAGGGACUAUAUACCAGUUAGUUGAGGUAAUAUGUACAUGUAGGUAGAGUUAUUAAAGGGACUAUAUACCAGUUAGAUGAGGUAAUAUGUACAUGUAGGUAGAGUUAUUAAAGGGACUAUAUACCAGUUAGUUGAGGUAAUAUGUACAUGUAGGUAGAGUUAUUAAAGGGACUAUAUACCAGUUAGAUGAGGUAAUAUGUAGGUAGAGUUAUUAAAGGGACUAUAUACCAGUUAGUUGAGGUAAUAUGUAGGUAGAGUUAUUAAAGGGACUAUAUACCAGUUAGAUGAGGUAAUAUGUACAUGUAGGUAGAGUUAUUAAAGGGUCUAUAUACCAGUUAGAUGAGGUAAUAUGUAGGUAGAGUUAUUAAA
rnacentral:lncRNA from 1 species